rnacentral:tRNA from 1 species
GGUGUAGCUCAGUGGUAGAGUGCAUGCUUAGCAUGCGUGAGGUCCUGGGUUCAAUCCCCAGUAGUGCCA